AUACCUUUCUCGGCCUUUUGGCUAAGAUCAAGUGUAGUAUCUAUUCUCAUCAGUUUAAUAUCUGAUAGGCGUAAAUUCAUUUUUCUGUGGGGGAGGGGCCCGCCCCACAGCAGCUUGCUGCUGGGGCCCUCGCGCGUCACCCAAGCGUUGCACUACCGCACGGGCCUGGCGUUGCACCG
rnacentral:snRNA from 1 species